UUGGAGGGCAAGUCUGGUGCCAGCAGCCGCGGUAAUUCCAGCUCCAAUAGCGUAUAUUAAAGUUGUUGCAGUUAAAAAGCUCGUAGUUGAAUUUCGGGAUCAGAGUGUCGGUCGUGCCUCGGUACGCACUGGUAUUAUUGGUUCCUACCUUCUGAAGAACCGCGAUGUCAUUAAUUUGGUGUCGUGGGGAAUCAGGACUGUUACUUUGAAAAAAUUAGAGUGUUUAAAGCAGGCUUACGCUUGAAUACAUUAGCGUGGAAUAAUGAAAUAGGACGUUUGAUUCCAUUUUGUUGGUUUCUAGGAUUGACGUAAUGAUUAAUAGGGAUAGUUGGGGGCAUUAGUAUUCAAUUGUCAGAGGUGAAAUUCUUGGAUUUAUUGAAGACUAACUACUGCGAAAGCAUUUGCCAAGGAUGUUUUCAUUAAUCAAGAACGAAAGUUAGGGGAUCGAAGACGAUCAGAUACCGUCGUAGUCUUAACCAUAAACUAUGCCGACUAGGGAUCGGAUGAUGUUAAUUCUUUAAUGACUCAUUCGGCGCCUUACGGGAAACCAAAGUGUUUGGGUUC
rnacentral:rRNA from 1 species